rnacentral:rRNA from 1 species
AGUGAACGCUGGCGGUAGGCCUAACACAUGCAAGUCGAACGGCAGCACAGUAAGAGCUUGCUCUUACGGGUGGCGAGUGGCGGACGGGUGAGGAAUACAUCGGAAUCUACUUUUUCGUGGGGGAUAACGUAGGGAAACUUACGCUAAUACCGCAUACGACCUACGGGUGAAAGCAGGGGAUCUUCGGACCUUGCGCGAUUGAAUGAGCCGAUGUCGGAUUAGCUAUUUGGCGGGGUAAAGGCCCACCAAGGCGACGAUCCGUAGCUGGUCUGAGAGGAUGAUCAGCCACACUGGAACUGAGACACGGUCCAGACUCCUACGGGAGGCAGCAGUGGGGAAUAUUGGACAAUGGGCGCAAGCCUGAUCCAGCCAUACCGCGUGGGUGAAGAAGGCCUUCGGGUUGUAAAGCCCUUUUGUUGGGAAAGAAAAGCAGCAGGUUAAUACCCCGCUGUUCUGACGGUACCCAAAGAAUAAGCACCGGCUAACUUCGUG